rnacentral:rRNA from 1 species
CGGAGGAAAAGAAACCAACAGGGAUUGCCUCAGUAACGGCGAGUGAAGCGGCAAAAGCUCAAAUUUGAAAUCUAGCACCUUCGGUGUUCGAGUUGUAAUUUGAAGAUGGUAACCUUGGGUUUGGCUCUUGUCUAUGUUCCUUGGAACAGGACGUCAUAGAGGGUGAGAAUCCCGUCUGAUGAGAUGCCCAUUCCUAUGUAAGGUGCUAUCGAAGAGUCGAGUUGUUUGGGAAUGCAGCUCUAAGUGGGUGGUAAAUUCCAUCUAAAGCUAAAUAUUGGCGAGAGACCGAUAGCGAACAAGUACAGUGAUGGAAAGAUGAAAAGAACUUUGAAAAGAGAGUGAAAAAGUACGUGAAAUUGUUGAAAGGGAAGGGCAUUAGAUCAGACUUGGUGUUUUACGAUUAUCUUCUCUUCUUGAGUUGUGCACUCGUAUUUCACUGGGCCAGCAUCGAUUCGGAUGGCAAGAUAAUGGCAGUUGAAUGUGGCUUCACUUCGGUGGAGUGUUAUAGCUUCUGCUGAUAUUGCCUGUCUGGAUCGAGGGCUGCGUCUUUUGACUAGGAUGCUGGCGUAAUGAUCUAAUGCCGCCCGUCUUGA